CCUACGGGAGACAGCAGUGGGGAAUAUUGGUCAAUGGGCGCAAGCCUGACCCAGCAACGCCGCGUGAAGGAAGAAGGCUCUCGGGUUGUAAACCUCUUUUAUCAGGGACGAAACAAGUGACGGUACCUGACGAAUAAGCCACGGCUAACUACGUGCCAGCAGCCGCGGUAAUACGUAGGUGGCAAGCGUUAUCCGGAUUUACUGGGUGUAAAGGGCGUGUAGGCGGGAAAGCAAGUCAGAUGUGAAAUCCAUGGGCUCAACCUGUGGCCUGCAUUUGAAACUGUUUGUCUUGAGUACUGGAGAGGUAGACGGAAUUCCUAGUGUAGCGGUGAAAUGCGUAGAUAUUAGGAGGAACACCAGUGGCGAAGGCGGUUUGCUGGACAGCAACUGACGCUGAGGCGCGAAAGCGUGGGGAGCAAACAGGAUUAGAUACCCCAGUAGUC
rnacentral:rRNA from 1 species